GACAGAGGUACCGAGCGUUAGGCGGAAUCACUGGGCUUAAAGCGUGUGUAGGCGGCGGCGUAAGUACCUUGUGAAAUCCCACGGCUCAACCGUGGAACUGCUCGGUAUACUGCGUCGCUUGAGCCAGCUAGGGGCGACCGGAACAAACGGUGGAGCGGUGAAAUGCGCAGAUAUCAGGGGGAACACCGGUGGCGAAGGCGGGUCUCUGGGCCGUAACUGACGCUGAGGAGCGAAAGCGUGGGGAGCGAACAGG
rnacentral:rRNA from 1 species